GGAAGCUGCAGCCAGACACGGAACCAUCAGGAAGCUCAGGCAACCGAGGGGUUCAGCAAAGGAGCACAGGGUAGCAUUAUCUUCAGUCAGCGUUCUAGUGCCUCAGGGGAAAGAUCAAAACUGGCUACAGGGCUGACGGGCCUCUGCCCUGACACAACCUGACAGGUGGCCUCGAAGCAAUGAGCAUCACUGGCAGCUGUGCAGCCUGGAAAGCUGUCUGUCAUUGAGCUGGCUGUGUUUGGCAUUUAUUCAGCCGUGUCCAGAAUUUUAUCCUACAGUGCUAGACUCCAAAU